CCGUUGUGGAGCUUCCAGAGCAGCUCCUCGUUCUCCAUGGAGAGGCGCUUGUUGACCUUGGACUCCUUCUCCAGCGACUCCUGCAGGACCGCCUGCUCCGUGGAAAGUUGCCUGGCAGACAGAAAGGAGCCAGAAAUCAUCCAGGUUUCCCUGGGAAGGGAAGGCAUGCCCGCUGAGGACUCAGGCUUUUAUCCAGGCCCCUUGGGUAAGUGAAGGCGCCACGGGCUGCAGUCAUUUCCCAGGCAGAAAUCAGAACCUCUUUAACCACUCGCUUCAGUCCAGGAGGGACAGGAGUGGGCCGUGCUAAGAAAGGAACACUCAGGGUUCAUGUGUGAGGCAGGGAGGGGCUCGGGGCAAACAGGACAGUGGCACCAUUACCUCGAAAUUGCCAUGUGCUUGUCCAUCCGAGCUUUCAGUUCUUCAUUCUCCUGCUGGAAUCGCUUCAGUUUGUCCACCAGCGCUGUGUUAUUGUCCACCUUGGCAUAAAUGAGAGUGUCAACAUUCAUACGUUAAAAAUUACAUAAGGCCCCUUAUUCCUUGAGGUACCUUCCUGAUAUCAGUGUAGGCUACAGAGAUUUAAUUUAGGAAAGUUUUUUUUUUUUUUAAUUCUUUUCAAGGUUAACAGUAUUUUUAUUUUAAAAAUUUAUUAUUGGAGUAUAAUUGCUUUACACUGUUGUAUUAGUGUCUGCUGUACAAUGAAGUCAAUCAGCUGUAUGUAUAGAGAUAUCCCCUCCCCCUGGAUCCCCCAUCCCACUCCUCUAGGUCAUCACAGAGCACUGAGCUGAGCUCCCUGUGCUAUAUAAAGCAGCUUCCCACUGGCUGUUUUACACACGGUAGCGUAUAUAGGUCAAUGGCUACUCUUAAUUCAGCAAAGCUGAAUGGUAUGUUGAACAUCUCUACACUGACGCACUGCGAGAAAGAACCUACUGCAGCAAAACAGAGCACACGGGUAUUACUUUUCACAUGUGUGCCAGGGCAUGUGAACACACACACACACCCAGGGGCUACUGAUUUGUUCAAGGUCACGCUGCUUUAGAAUUCCCAAGAAUUGGUGCCCUGCCCUUGGAGGCUGUGCCUCUUUCAGUUUCACGGUGAUAAAGAAAACCGCAGCCCGGCAGCCAACGUUUAUCAGAGACACUACAGCUUCUUAUGAUCAAUUUGGGAAAAAAAAAAAAAAAAAUCCCACAUUUGAUGAAAACUCAGUUCAUGGCAGUGUUUAACACGACCUUAAUCAUGGUUUCCUGCUGGCUCGCCAGCAUGUCCCUCUGAGUGGCUACUCAGUGCAAUCCACAGAGCUCUGUGGAGCCUCAAAAUAAAGAAAUGCAUGACAAAAGGCACCCCUCCUUAGCUAAACUAAAGACAUGUUUGUUUUCCUUGAAAGUUUAGCCUGGGAAGGACAACAGGCAAGCAAACUGAUCUGCCAGAUUAAAGGAGAAAAGCCCAGAAGACACUGAAUCAGCUAAUGAUGAAGAGCUGAAUACACUCCUGCUCACUUUCUGAAGGUGGCUAUCCCCAGACCACGGAUAUGAAUGACCUUUGCUGUUAUUUUUCUAAACACUGACUGCUCCGUUUGCAUGUUCCACUGGACAUGGAACAACAGACUGGUUCCAAAUAGGAAAAGGAGUUCGUCAAGGCUGUAUAUUGUCACCCUAUUUAACUUAUAUGCAGAGUACAUCAUGAGAAACGCUGGACUGGAAGAAACACAA